rnacentral:rRNA from 1 species
GACGAACGCUGGCGGCGUGCCUAAUACAUGCAAGUAGAACGCUGAAGGAGGAGCUGGCUCUUCUGUAUGAGUUGCGAACGUGUGAGUAACGCGUAGGUAACCUGCCUGGUAGCGGGGGAUAACUGUUGCAAACGAUAUCUAAUACCGCAUAAAAUUGAUUAUUGCAUUAUAGGCAAUUAAAAGGUGCAAUUGCAUCACUACCAGAUGGACCUGCGUUGUAUUAGCUAGUUGGUGAGGUAACGGAUCACCAAAGCAACGAUACAUAGCCGAACUGAGAGGGUGAUCGGCCACACUGGGACUGAGACCCGGCACAGAGGCCUACGGGAGGGAGCAGGAGGGAAUCUUCGGCAAUGGACGGAAGUCUGACCGAGAAACGCCGAGUGAGUGAAGAAGGUUUUCGGAUCGUAAAGCUCUGUUGUAAGAGAAGAACGCGCGUGAGAGUGGAAAGUUCACACUGUGACGGUAUCUUAACAGAAAGGGACGGCUAACUACGUG